AGAGUUUGAUCCUGGCUCAGGAUGAACGCUAGCUACAGGCUUAACACAUGCAAGUCGAGGGGAAACGACAUCGAAAGCUUGCUUUUGAUGGGCGUCGACCGGCGCACGGGUGAGUAACGCGUAUCCAACCUGCCCAUCACUUGGGGAUAACCUUGCGAAAGUAAGACUAAUACCCAAUGAUAUCUCUAGAAGGCAUCUGAAAGAGAUUAAAGAUUUAUCGGUGAUGGAUGGGGAGUGCGUCUGAUUAGCUUGUUGGCGGGGUAACGGGCCACCAAAGCAACGAUCAGUAGGGGUUCUGAGAGGAACGGUCCCCCACAUUGGAACUGAGACACGGUCCAAACUCCUACGGGAGGCA
rnacentral:rRNA from 1 species